rnacentral:rRNA from 1 species
GACGAACGCUGGCGGCGUGCCUAAUACAUGCCAGUAGAACGCACAGUUUAUACCGUAGCUUGCUACACCAUAGACUGUGAGUUGCGAACGGGUGAGUAACGCGUAGGUAACCUGCCUGGUAGCGGGGGAUAACUAUUGGAAACGAUAGCUAAUACCGCAUAAUAUUAAUUAUUGCAUGAUAAUUAAUUGAAAGGUGCAAUUGCACCACUACCAGAUGGACCUGCGUUGUAUUAGCUAGUAGGUGAGGUAACGGCUCACCUAGGCGACGAUACAUAGCCGACCUGAGAGGGUGAUCGGCAACACUGGGACUGAGACACGGCCCAGACUCCUACGGGAGGCAGCAGUAGGGAAUCUUCGGCAAUGGACGAAAGUCUGACCGAGCAACGCCGCGUGAGUGAAGAAGGUUUUCGGAUCGUAAAGCUCUGUUGUAAGAGAAGAACGGGUGUGAGAGUGGAAAGUUCACACUGUGACGGUAUCUUACCAGAAAGGGACGGCUAACUACGUG